GAUGAACGCUGGCGGCGUGCCUAAUACAUGCAAGUCGAACGAAACUUCUUUAUCACCGAGUGCUUGCACUCACCGAUAAAGAGUUGAGUGGCGAACGGGUGAGUAACACGUGGGCAACCUGCCCAAAAGAGGGGGAUAACACUUGGAAACAGGUGCUAAUACCGCAUAACCAUAGUUACCGCAUGGUAACUAUGUAAAAGGUGGCUAUACUACCGCUUUUGGAUGGGCCCGCGGCGCAUUAGCUAGUUGGUAGGGUAAAGGCUUACCAAGGCAAUGAUGCGUAGCCGAAUUGAGAGGUUGAUCGGCCACAUUGGGACUGAGACACGGCCCAAACUCCUACGGGAGGCAGCAGUAGGGAAUCUUCCACAAUGGGCGAAAGCCUGAUGGAGCAACGCCGCGUGGGUGAAGAAGGUCUUCGGAUCGUAAAACCCUGUUGUUAGAGAAGAAAGUGCGUGAGAGUAACUGUUCACGUCUCGACGGUAUCUAACCAGAAAGCCACGGCUAACUACGUG
rnacentral:rRNA from 1 species